GUGCCAGUCUGCAUCUGGGUCCUGUAGA
rnacentral:piRNA from 1 species